UACGGAAGGCAGCAGUGGGGAAUAUUGCACAAUGGGCGCAAGCCUGAUGCAGCCAUGCCGCGUGUAUGAAAAAGGCCUUCGGGUUGUAAAGUACUUUCAGUCGUGAGGAAGGUGUUAAGGUUAAUAACCUUAGCAAUUGACGUUAGCGACAGAAGAAGCACCGGCUAACUCCGUGCCAGCAGCCGCGGUAAUACGGAGGGUGCGAGCGUUAAUCGGAAUUACUGGGCGUAAAGGGCACGCAGGCGGUUAAUUAAGUUGGAUGUGAAAUCCCCGGGCUUAAACCUGGGAAUGGCAUUCAAGACUGGUUAGCUAGAGUCUUGUAGAGGGGGUAGAAUUCCAUGUGUAGCGGUGAAAUGCGUAGAGAUGUGGAGGAAUACCGGUGGCGAAAGGCGGCCCCUGGACAAAGACUGACGCUCAUGUGCGAAAGCUGGGGAGCAAAACAGGGAUUAGAUACC
rnacentral:rRNA from 1 species